rnacentral:rRNA from 1 species
GACUAAGCCAUGCGAGUCAUGGGGCGCCUUGCGCGCACCGGCGGACGGCUCAGUAACACGUCGGUAACCUACCCUCGGGAGGGGGAUAACCCCGGGAAACUGGGGCUAAUCCCCCAUAGGCCUGAGGUACUGGAAGGUCCUCAGGCCGAAAGGGUCUUUGACCGCCCGAGGAUGGGCCGGCGGCCGAUUAGGUAGUUGGUGGGGUAACGGCCCACCAAGCCGAAGAUCGGUACGGGCCAUGAGAGUGGGAGCCCGGAGAUGGACACUGAGACACGGGUCCAGGCCCUACGGGGCGCAGCAGGCGCGAAACCUCCGCAAUGCGGGCAACCGCGACGGGGGGACCCCCAGUGCCGUGGCAUCGCCACGGCUUUUCCGGAGUGUAAAGAGCUCCGGGAAUAAGGGCUGGGCAAGGCCGGUGGCAGCCGCCGCGGUAAUACCGGCGGCCCGAGUGGUGGCCGCUAUUAUUGGGCCUAAAGCGUCCGUAGCCGGGCCCGCAAGUCCCUGGCGAAAUCCCACGGCUCAACCGUGGGGCUUGCUGGGGAUACUGCGGGCCUUGGGACCGGGAGAGGCGGAGGGUACUCCUGGGGUAGGGGUGAAAUCCUAUAAUCCCAGGAGGACCGCCAGUGGCGAAGGCGCUCCGCUGGAACGGGUCCGACGGUGAGGGACGAAGGCCAGGGGAGCGAACCGGAUUAGAUACCCGGGUAGUCCUGGCUGUAAAGGAUGCGGGCUAGGUGUCGGGCGAGCUUCGUGCUCGCUCGGUGCCGAAGGGAAGCCGUUAAGCCCGCCGCCUGGGGAGUACGGCCGCAAGGCUGAAACUUAAAGGAAUUGGCGGGGGAGCACUACAAGGG